GACGAACGCUGGCGGCGUGCCUAACACAUGCAAGUCGAACGGAAAGGCCCUGCUUUUGUGGGGUGCUCGAGUGGCGAACGGGUGAGUAACACGUGAGUAACCUGCCCUUGUUUUUGGGAUAACUUCAGGAAACUGGGGCUACUCCCAGAUAGCAGCCCCCGCUGCAUGGAGGGGGUUGGAAAGUUUCGGCGGUCGGGGAUGGACGCGCGGCUUAUCAGCUUGUUGGUUGGGUAGUGGCAUACCAACGAUUUGACGGGUAGCCGGCCUGAGAGGGUGGCCGGCCUCAUUGGGCCUACGGGACGGACCAGACUCGUACGGGAGGCAGCAGUGGCGAGUAUUGCCCAAUGAGCGCGAGCCUGAUGCAGCAACGCCGCGUGCGGAAAGACGGCCUUCGGGUUGUAAACCGCUUUCGCCUGUGACGAAGCGGGACUGACGGUAAUGUGUAAAGAAGCACCGGCUAACUACGUG
rnacentral:rRNA from 1 species